CAGGAUGUGGACGUACUGAUAAAUGUUGUGCAUCAGAUCGGUCCACUGGCUGAUGGAACUCCACAGGAGCCGCUCGAUGUGAAAGGGCGCCCAGCAGACUCCGAACACUGCAACCACGAUCGCUGGAGGAUAAGGAGGCGCAGCGGGAGGCUGUUUACGUUGGUGGACCGACUUUGUUGGAGGUUUGGUGGCACUCCAAACUGACAAGGUGCUGCUCAGCAGGCAAUUAGCCGAGCCUCAUACUGAACAGCAGGUGGAGGAGAAGGAGCGCUCGCCUCCACUGACCGAGCAGUCCGGACUGUUUGAGAGCGUGUUUGUCUUUGUCCUCAGCUGAUGUUUUGUUUUCCCAUUGAGUUCAUUUUGCUGUUAUUUCUAAAUAAACAUUCACUU